rnacentral:tRNA from 1 species
GAGGGUAUACCUCAGUGGUAGAGUGUGUGCUUAGCAUGCACAAGGUCCUGGGUUCAAUCCCUAGGACCUCCA